UAGGGAAUCUUCGGCAAUGGGGGGAACCCUGACCGAGCAACGCCGCGUGAGUGAAGAAGGUUUUCGGAUCGUAAAGCUCUGUUGUUAAGGAAGAACGAGUGUGAGAAUGGAAAGUUCAUGCUGUGACGGUACUUAACCAGAAAGGGACGGCUAACUACGUGCCAGCAGCCGCGGUAAUACGUAGGUCCCGAGCGUUGUCCGGAUUUAUUGGGCGUAAAGCGAGCGCAGGCGGUUAGAAAAGUCUGAAGUGAAAGGCAGUGGCUCAACCAAUGUAGGCUUUGGAAACUGUUUAACUUGAGUGCAGAAGGGGAGAGUGGAAUUCCAUGUGUAGCGGUGAAAUGCGUAGAUAUAUGGAGGAACACCGGUGGCGAAAGCGGCUCUCUGGUCUGUAACUGACGCUGAGGCUCGAAAGCGUGGGGAGCGAACAGG
rnacentral:rRNA from 1 species